UGUGGCUCAGCGGUAGAGUGCUCGCCUGGCAUGCGCGGGGCCCUGAGUUCAAUCCUCAGCA
rnacentral:tRNA from 1 species